GAAUAUGUACGAAUAUUUAGUUGCACGUAAAGUAGAUGAGACACAGCAUUUAACGAGGUUCGGCUAUGCCUACGUCCUCGGAGAGCAGCAACAGUAACUUUUCACUAUAUAAAAUAAUAUGGCUACAAUAGUGUUUACAAUAUGUGUGGCUCACUGAAUUUUCUCUCUGCUCACUCACCCUCUUUCUUCCUUCUCUUCCUCUUCUCUGCCUGACUCUCUUUCUUUUCUCUUUCCUCUUUUCUUUUUCCUCUUCUCUCUUUCCUCUUCUCUUUCAUCUUCUCUCUUCUCUCUUUCUUCUUCUUUGUUUCUUUCCGUUUCUCCCUUUCUCUUCUUUGUCUUAUCUUUUCUUUCACUUUGCAGGUUGCCUAUUUAUAGGCAGAUUGGUGCAACUCUCGUGAGUGUGCAGUAAGAAAAAGUUGCCGACAAACUCUACCCAAAGUCUCCAAAUAAAUAGUUAGUGGGCUCCACACAAAAACUUUACAACACUCCCCCUUGGAGACCACAAAUAAUAUGUCAGUUGCUUCAUCAGACUUUGCUUGGAGAAAACCUAGUGAGGUAGAAAACUGAUAGAAAGAAGAAAGAAGAGUACAACAAUCUGUAUAGCAUACUUCUGGAUGCUCCCCCUGAUUAAUAUCUCCCCCUGAUGUCUUCAUAACUAUCUUUUGGAGUGAGAAUCUUUCGGAGUGAGUGAAUGAUGUAGCCACCAAUAAUUCAUAUAGUAAAUAUAUUUCCAGUGAGCUAUCUCUAUGUAAAUCAUAGAAAUUUUCAGAGUCCGCGUUUCCAACAAAACCUGGGCUAUUUGUAAGAUCAUAUGAAAGAAUAUGCCCAUACAUGGUGUUAUGCGGAGGUAGCAUCAAAUAUACCUCACAUUAUCCCAAAAUGAUGUUGAUGGAGUUGAGCUCAAAUACGAUGUCCGGUCAAAUAUACUUCCGGAAAAUCCUUAAAGUGUCCAACGGAUAAUCCUCAUAAAAAUGCUUCAAUACUUUCUUAGUAUAAGCAAUAAUCUCGUAGGCAUAAUGCUCGAUCUUUCAGUCGAGACAAAUAUUGCUGGAACUCUUGAGAAGCUUUAAUGUGUUGCAAACACAUUAUAAUCAAUAUACUCACUUAGGCAAUUUAUGUACAUUAACAUUGAGUACAGAUUUUGUGCUUCAGGCACAUGUCAUUCAGGGACUUGCUUUGUGCAAUUUCAAUCCUUUCAAGGAUUUUGAUUAAAGGGAUUAAACUUUAUGACACAUUAUAUAACUUUAACCUAGCUAUUUAUACAUCUUUAGGAAAUCGCUUCUGGCAAUAUGCUCCGUGCAUUUAAUAACCUUUAAAGAUAACAUGUUGGUCUCCGUAAAUGUGCAAUAAGGGGGCACAAUUGAAUUUGUAAAUAUGGAGAAAACCCAACAUUCCUUGCUUCUGCCAGAAACAUUGUGUCAUACAAAGUAGGUAUAUUCCCUUUUAUUCCGAACACCCAAGUAUAACUUUUAAUAUUAACAUCUUUUGGGGUUCGUACUGUGGGUUUGUUCUUUCACGUUCAUUCUCAUCUAUAAUGGAAUUGCCUCAUUCCAUUUUGGCCAAUGAUAUUGUCGACAUUUAAUAAUUGAACGUGAUUCCAAUCAACACAGCCCAUUGAUGAUUUGAGUAGCUACUCCAAAAUCAAAAUUUGUCAUUCAUCAAUUUAUGAUCCCACCAUUCUCAUGUGCAUGCGCAUACAUUAAUUAUAAGCACUUCUUUGCUUUUGGGUACCCAAGCCACUGCAGGGGGCUUUUAUUACGUGAGAAUGUGGAUUAUAACCUCCAAUGGAGCGUUAUUUUAUAGUAGGGCGUGGAUAAUCUCCAUUUAGGGAGUUGGAACAUUUAGAACCCAUAUAUCUGUCAUGCUGCAGGCAUGCCACAGAUUAAUACAUACAUGUCAAUUAAUUUAUGGGACCUUAACCCAUAUUAUGGGACUUUAACCCAUAUAAUUUGCUACGCAUUAGGCGUGCAUAAUAUCAAUAUUGACAUGUCAAAGGAUUGUCCUUUCGGGACUUCAAUCCACAUCAUUUGCUACGCAACAGGCGUGCAUCAUAUUGAUCACUGCUAUACCCAUAUUCUGUUCUUAUGAGACUUUAAUCUGUGCAGUGUAUUAUCAAUGUAUCCAACUUGCAAUCUGUAAAAUUUGCGUUAAUAAUUCAUGGAUACAUACAAGCCAUUCUUUUGGAACGGACUUAUCUCCCCAUUUGGUUACCUUUCAAGAUAAAAUAUCAAAUAUGUAUAUAAGCAUAAAAUAACACAAGUAUUGCUUACAUCCUUAGGUGCGAGAAACUUUUCUCAAGUAUCAUUCAAGCUCAUAUCGGCCCAGUAAAUAUAAUGUAGCGCUUGAUGAUCUAGUUAUAUCCUGCAAGAGCAAAAAUCACAACUCUUUUGCCUCUGUCAAAACAAAUAACCCUCAUAGUUAGGAUUACUUCAUGGAUUCAUUCUUCAAAUGUUCAUUCUAAAGAAAUAAAAUCUCUUAUGAACAGAGAGUUAUAAAAAGAGAAAAAAAAUACAAAAAUAAUGUGAUAUUGAUUGCAAGAGAAGGUAAGCAAUCAAGGAAGGAAGCUGGUGGGAGCAGACAAUAAGCUCUCAUAUCUCCUAGUCUAGAAGGACUUCCGGAGAUUAGAGCAUAAGAUCGCCUUCACAGUUUCCUGAUGUAGCGGAAACGUGAUCAGGGAUAGUCUUGCUUCCUGAAUGGAUGAUCAGGGAUAGUCUUGCUUCUCGGGCAUAUUGAGUGCUCACUGAUAAGAAAAAUAAGUAGAUAUCGCAUCACUAGGUAUGGAGUAAACUGGAUGUCUUCUGCAAAGAAAAUUUCGUUAGUAACACAUUUAUACACAAAUACAAUGAAUAGGUAGAACCGGUGAAUUUCAAAUUAACCAUAGGAAAAUUGCGAGAUUCUCGGGAUACUUUUGAAAAAGUAGCUCCGUGAAAUCCGUAAAGCAAGAUCAGCUUUGACGAAAAUAAUACUUGAAAACGCCGAAAGUGCCGACAGGCAUUAUCAGAGGCCACGUGAAGUUUUGGACUCUGGGAAAGAAAAAGAUAAUAUGGGGAUUCGAGAAGAUAUUGGGAUCCUGGAAAUGUUGCCACAUUUUCGUCUAUAGAUAUUGCCUUUGCAAAACUUGAUUGGAGCAAUUGCGUUUCAACUUAACUUCCUUCAUUUUCUGAAACUUUAGUUUUCCUAAGGCUUUCUUCGAAACCUUCUUAAAAUGGCUUCCUUUCCUAUUAUAAUAAUUGCGCACAUUCUUAAACUUGCACCUGUGGUUUUUACGUCUUUUCAAAAUGACGGUUUGGAACCUUGUGCCUUAUAGGUUCAAAUAACCACAUCGACUCUCCCAAAUUUCAUAUUUCAACGCAUGGUAGCCCGGAACUUUUGGCCUGGGCUAAACACAAACUCAGAAUUUAUUUGCCCUUUUCAAAUAGACAUGAAAUACGAUAAUAUCACAAUAUAGUAGUGAAGAGCAUUAACUACUAUAUACCCACAACUUCAAGUUCAGGAUCUCUCAUAUAUUUGGAUCCAGGGGCUUCCGGCCCAGAUAUAACAAAAUAUGUGGGGAGCCUCAAUUCAUUAUUUGAGGUUUAUAUUUAUCCAUUUCGCGGUGUAUUCUUAACAACCGGAAUUCACAAAAUAUAUUUCUUCCUUGAGGUGUCGAUUAUAACAAAAUCGAACUUUAUUAAAUUCAUCAUCUUCUUAUGCCAAAGAAAUAUGUGGCAUACCACAAUUUGCAAUAAUACCUCAAGGGUUGUCCAUUUAAUUGUUGGAACUUCAGGUUCUCAACACUGUUAGAUUUUGAACCUCAAGCCAAAAUCACAUAUUCUUAUGGUAUGGACAUUUUUACAAUUUUCUGUACAUAUUUCUGGACUUCAAGCCCUUACAUAAUUAUCCAUAUCUUGAGGAACUUCUGGCAUCUCAUUUAAUUGCUCAUCCAUGAGUUUAAGGAACUGCAGGUUCCCUUUUGUAUAUAGUGACGGUUUACCCAAAAUAGUUAAUAUUUAUGCAUACGUCACUAUUCAUGUGAAUAGUACUAUUCAUCAAGUCAUGAAUACGUAUCUAUUCAUGUGUAUAGUACAUCUGCCAGUACAGUUAUCAUCCAUGUGUACGGCACUAUGAACCAAUACGGUACUGUUACAUCAUUAAGGAACUCUAGGUCCUUAUUUACAUGUCAGGGAUCAAGGACCCUUAAGUCCAAUCACAUGUUUACAAAUACAGUACCGGAGAGACUGCCAGCUCUCAUAUUAAUAUCAUCAUCAAGGAUCUUCAAGUCCUGAUGUAAUUGUAUGAUGAGGAUCAAGGAACUUCUGGUCCUGAUCUGCAUACUGUAAAAACUCAUCAUACAACACAAUUAAUCCAUAAAAUAAAUUGCUGAUAAAUAAAUUACUGGUAUGGACGAUAAACCCGCACCAUACUUUAAAUAAAAUUAAAUAGCUUGCUGUAUGGACGUUAAUCCCGCACCAUACCUUAAAUAAAAUUAAAUGUGCGGUAAAGUAAACGUGCUUGUAUGGGCACUAAUUCUGCUCCAUACAUUUAAAUAAAAGUAAAGGCGUGGAUGAUAAACCUGCACCACCCUUUAAAUAAAAUUAAAUAGCUUGCUGUAUGGACGUUAAUCCCGCACCAUACCUUAAAUAAAAUUAAAUGUGCGGUAAAGUAAACGUGCUUGUAUGGGCACUAAUUCUGCUCCAUACAUAAAAGCAAAGGCGUGGACGAUAAACCCGCACCACCCUUUAAAUAUUGCCGUAUGGGUAAUAAACCUACACCAUACCAUAAAUAAAAUAACUGUGUGGAUAAAACCGCCACUAUAUAAUAUAUAUAUUCAUAAAGUAUAUCAGUAUUAUAAAUAUAUAUAUAUAUAUAUAUAUAUACACACACACACACUUUAUAUAACGUGUUAUAUUAUAUUACCACCUUUCAAUAUUAAUAUUAUAAUUAUAUAUAUAUAAGAUAAAUAUAUAUAAAAGUAAACAAUAAUCGAAUGAUAAGGAUGUGUUCUGUGUAUAUGCAUGCUCCCAAUUGCAUAUGUUCUUUUCUUUUUGCCAUUAUAAUAUAUUAAACCAAAAACAGCUUUCCAACAUAUCUUAUCAUAUUAAAUUGGUUUUGUACAUGUUUGAAUUUAAGCCUCUGCUUUUCCAAUGUCACCAGUACACCUGCACUAACCUUACUAUGUAUUAAAUAUUGUAAAGAAAUAAUAAAAUAAUGGAAAAGUUUAGAGACAAGGAACUUAUCCUUCCAGUUGGUUUGCUCGUAUAUCUGUCUAGCAGACCACAGCUCAUUCACUACUUUUCUUCCUUACAUCAACAUAAUGGUUAGUAGUAUAAUAAUAGUGUAGCACAAAAAUUAUACCUGAGAGCUUCUCGUCCUGAUAACGUGUUAUAAAAUGACCUGGAAUAUGUACGAAUAUUUAGCUGCACGUAAAGUAGAUGAGACACAGCAUUUAACGAGGUUCGGCUAUGCCUACGUCCUCGGAGAGCAGCAGCAGUAACUUUUCACUAUAUAAAAUAAUAUGGCUACAAUAGUGUUUACAAUAUGUGUGGCUCACUGAAUUUUCUCUCUGCUCACUCACCCUCUUUCUUCCUUCUCUUCCUCUUCUCUGCCUGACUCUCUUUCUUUUCUCUUUCCUCUUUUCUUUUUCCUCUUCUCUCUUUCCUCUUCUCUUUCCUCUUCUCUCUUCUCUCUUUCCUCUUCUUUGUUUCUUUCCGUUUCUCCCUUUCUCUUCUUUGUC
rnacentral:lncRNA from 1 species